CCUACGGGUGGCAGCAGUGAGGAAUAUUGGUCAAUGGACGAGAGUCUGAACCAGCCAAGUAGCGUGAAGGAUGACUGCCCUAUGGGUUGUAAACUUCUUUUAUAAAGGAAUAAAACGAGGCACGUGUGCCUUUUUGCAUGUACUUUAUGAAUAAGGAUCGGCUCACUCCGUGCCAGCAGCCGCGGUAAUACGGAGGAUCCGAGCGUUCUCCGGAUUGAUUGGGUUUAAAGGGAGCGUAGAUGGGUUGUUAAGUCAGUUGUGAAAGUUUGCGGCUCAACCGUAAAAUUGCAAGUGAUACUGGCAGUCUGGAGUACAGUUGAGGUAAGCGGAAUUCGUGGUGUAGCGGUGAAAUGCUUAGAUAUCACGAAGAACCCCGAUUGCGAAGGCAGCUUACUAAACUGUGACUGACAUUGAUGCUCGAAAGUGUGGGUAUCAAACAGGAUUAGAUACCCUUGUAGUC
rnacentral:rRNA from 1 species